GGAUAUGAGAGUGAUCUGGAUGCGACAUCUAUCACCCCAUUGAUCUACACAGUUGAUUUAACUGAUCUGACUGGCUAUGUGGGUGUCCUCUUCUUCUCUCACCUUCCUGGUGUGUCCUCCCAAAUCUGGUGGCUCCCCAAAUAGAGACAGAUGGAUCUUCUCAAGGGUAUAUGAUCAAAGUGCAAUUUGGAAUAUGUGCCCUCGGAGAAUACAUCAAUAUAUCCACCAGAGGGCACUAGAUAACCAGAAAAUUAUUCCAAAAAGCCUGUAGUUCUUUGAAAUUAUUU
rfam:Erinaceus europaeus unplaced genomic scaffold scaffold01366, whole genome shotgun sequence